AUUGAACGCUGGCGGAAGGCCUAACACAUGCAAGUCGAGCGAGCGGCGGACGGGUGAGUAAUGUCUGGGAAACUGCCUGAUGGAGGGGGAUAACUACUGGAAACGGUAGCUAAUACCGCAUACCAUCAGAUGUGCCCAGAUGGGAUUAGCUGGUAGGUGGGGUAACGGCUCACCUAGGCGACGAUCCCUAGCUGGUCUGAGAGGAUGACCAGCCACACUGGAACUGAGACACGGUCCAGACUCCUACGGGAGGCAGCAGUGGGGAAUAUUGCACAAGGGGCGCAAGCCUGAUGCAGCCAUGCCGCGUGUGUGAAGAAGGCCUUCGUGUUGUAAAGCACUUUCAGCGGGGAGGCUUUAUCCGCAGAACAGGCACCGUCUACCUCCGUGCCAGCAGCCGCGGUAAUAC
rnacentral:rRNA from 1 species